UACGAAGGGGGCUAGCGUUGCUCGGAAUCACUGGGCGUAAAGGGUGCGUAGGCGGGUCUUUAAGUCAGGGGUGAAAUCCUGGAGCUCAACUCCAGAACUGCCUUUGAUACUGAGGAUCUUGAGUCCGGGAGAGGUGAGUGGAACUGCGAGUGUAGAGGUGAAAUUCGUAGAUAUUCGCAAGAACACCAGUGGCGAAGGCGGCUCACUGGCCCGGUACUGACGCUGAGGCACGAAAGCGUGGGGAGCA
rnacentral:rRNA from 1 species